GAGGCGGAGCCCGGCCGCCCCCGCCCCCCCACCCAUAAAGAAAGCUCCGCGGCUCUCGCCGCGCCCCCGCCUGCCCCGCCCGGCGCCGCACCACGUGGGCCAGGCGCCCCACGCCUGGAGCUCCCCUCUCUGGAGCCCCGGGAAAGGAAGCGGGGCAGGGAGGCCGGGUGGGAGCAGGGGGGUCUCCGGCGCUUCCUCUCCUCUGCGGGCGCCGCGCGGCUCCUGAGAGUCCGCCCCCCGUCCUGACGCUCAGCUAGGAAGCGGGUCCUCGGGCCCCUCCCCCGACACACACACACACACACACACACACACACACACACACACACACUCUCUCUCUCUCUCUCUCUCUCUCUCUCUCUCUCUCUCUCUCUCACACACACACACACACACACAGCCCGUCUCGCGCCUGAGGUCUCGCCCGCAGGCCGGUGGCGCGGGGUCAGCUGCUGCCUGCGGUCCAGGACAGGGUCGGUUCCGCCGCGCAGCGCCCAGGCCCAGCUCGUCCAGAGUCUGCGGACAGCGCACGUCCAGACAUCGCCCACUCGGGCUCACAGUGCCAUCCGGGUGAGGACCUCCGUGGAGAGCUCUCUUUGCCAAAGAAAAGCAGUUGCAUUAGGUCUGCGAGCAGGCAGGGUGGCCUCUUCCUGGCUCCCCAUCCACCAAGGAAGCUUCAAGUCCCUGGGACACAGGCACUUUCCCACACAGGAUGGAGCCGGGCCACCCUCACAGCUCCUGCCCUGCAGACGCUGGCCUUGUGGAGGGAGGCAGGCAGCAGGAGCAGUGCUUUCUGGGCCUCUGUAGCCAGAGCUGGCCCUGCUGCAGCUUACGUCUGCCUGCAGCCCAGACGUCCUCCUGGUCCUCCUGAUGCCCCCGACCUCCACGGAGGACGAGCAUUUCCAGCCCAGCCCUCCCCAUCUUCACCUCGCACUCCCCUGACACACUGGGAGCCUCCUGAUCCGUGAACCCGCGCUGGCGGGAGUAGCUACUGACCGCUGGGGACCCCUGCCCAGGCUGUUCGCAUGUGGAAAGGAUUCAGGGAGCAGGCGAUGCCCAAAGCGUGGAGACCAGCACUGCUCUCUCCCCAGUGACAGGUGCACGCCCAGAUCACGGAUGUGUCGGGAACAGCUGUGCUCCUGCUGCUCAGCGUCCGUCACUCCAGGCUGGGAGCGGGUCCCCAAGCUUCUGGCUGGGCCUAUCCGUCUCCACUCUCAGUGUGGGGGUGGGGGGCGCCAACAGCACGCAUUUGCUCUCUGCACUUCUCGUCUGAUAAUGGGCAGAGGGUCCUUCUGCAGCCCCAAAACAUCCCUAGGCAGGAGCCCUGGGGCCCCAAGCAGCCAGGGAGGUGAGCACCAAGGACCUCCCAGAGAGCGUCACCUUCCGUCGAGGGAGGCCCAGCCUGGGGGCGGUGUCUGAGACUUGGAAUCAACGCUUCCGUUGGUGGCAGUAAAUCCUGUCCCUAACCCUGCAGUACAGCUGUGCCGUGUACAGGAGGGUGCUGUCUGACGCCAGACACCUGGACUACAGAUCGCAGCCUGAUUCCUGGUCAUUGCUCCACUGAACCCCAGACCCCAGCCUCGUUCUGGGCCCUCAUCCCCUAGAUCCAGGGACCCCAGCCCCAUUUCAGCCCUUGGGCCCUUGUAGGAUGCGAGGCCCUGGGCCCCAGCCCCCAGCCCAUCCGUGGCCCAGGCACUGGGGGGCUGAGGUCCUCUGAGAAGGGACACAGGGCCUGGGGGGCUCUCUCAGCCCAUCAGCAGGAGAGGACUGACUCCAGAAAAAUCAGCGUUUGUACCCACUCAGGCUGCCAAGACCUGUGUCCGUCCUUCCAAGCUCAACCUUCAGAGUUCAUGAGGCCCCUUGCCCAGAAUGUCCACAGAGUUCAUGAGGCCCCUUGCCCGGAAUGUCCACAUUUGAAACCUCCCAACACCGAGCCCCAUUUCAAGUAUAACCAGGAGGGAAAAUGGUGCUUGAAAUAAGCAUGCCACAAAGGAAAACCUGCUUUCUCGAAAUGGGCCCUGGCCGCCCAGGCCCUGACCUCCCCGGCCAGGAUGGAACGUUCCAGAGACCCAUUAGUGCCAAAGGCAAAUGAAAACACACCCUGUGAAAAUGUCUCUGCUGUCUCCCAAGUAUUUAUUUUUCUGAGCGUGGGGAAGGAAGGCUUAAUUAAGAUGCCCUCAGGCGGGUACGAGGGGCAAAGUGGGAGCAGGGAGCGUGCUUCCUCUGUGGCCUUGGUUCAGACAACAGCCUUCAGCAAAGCUUUGCUCUAGAGGCUCAUAGGAAGGGACAGAGGGCACAGGCCCAGCUCAGCCUUUCCCCUGCCUUUCUUGGGGCCUGGGCAUGGACAGCACCGCCUGGCGACACACAACGGUGGGCUCUGAGGCUGUUUGUUACGCAGCAUUAAUGUGGCCGUCGGUGACCGCUACACGGUGACUGAUAACUGCACUGUGGGUAGAGCUCAGCCCGCAGGGCUCUGGUUUGUGACCUCUGGGCCAGGCAACUCUCAAGGCUUCUUCCAGUGCAGAAUAUGAUUCCUAGAGAAAAAAAAAAAAUUACACAUUCGUUUCCUAACAUAGGGCCCUGCAACCGGAGAACACCACCACAUUGGGAGCUGUGCUUUCCACUGUCUAGAAACCAUGGCUUGCCAGCUUGCAGGGUCACAUGGAGCCGCAUCUCCUUCUGGGGUGCAGGGGUGGGAACACUCGUGACCUGUAGCCGAGGGUGCAGGGAGAGGACAGGGUGAGCCAAGCAGAACAGCCGUCUGUGAGUCAUCGUCCCAGGACAACCAGCAAAUGGCACAACACCUGCUCUCUCAGCCCCCACCCGCACCUGCCAGCCUCACGUGGGGGGUGGGGGGGUUGGCCGCUGGACAGUCACAGCAGGAUCUGCCCAAACUGACCACCCUUCCAGGAGGAGGCAACAGAUGUUAGCAUCCACGGGUCCUGGGCCCCCCUUCCAUACCCAGACUUCAGGACAUGAAAAAUUGGGGUAAAUGAAGGGUGCACGAUUAUCUUCGGGCCCACACUGGCUUCCUGCGGGUGCCAGAGACAGCUGCCACCGCAUGCCAGGGACAAUGGCCCCGAGGAGGCGGGAGCUGCCAGGCCGGGGUGCUGGGGGACAGCUGGACGAGGUGCCGACAGGGGCUCAUUCCUCCCUGAAGCCGGCCCGCAGCUGCUGGGAGCGUGGCCAGCCACGGGCUUGUGUGUGCCUGGGUCCUGGGGGCUGUGCUGGCGCAGGCCGGGACGGCGGGGACAGGGUCCCACCUAGGGCAGGCUGGUCGGUCUCCGGGGAGGCAGCCCAGUCUUCAGCCUGCGUGCUCUUGGGGUGUCCGUCCCUUCCUCCCCAUUCUCCUCCUCUUCUCAGCGUCUUCUCCCCCAGCACCGGGCAGCCCUGGGGUGGCCGAGCCUCAUCUCCACUCCCCUCCCUCAGGCCUCUCCUGGGUCAGCCUGGCUUUUUCUCUUAGAGUUUUUGCUUGACAGGGCACUCUCAGGACGCCCUCCUCCUCCUCCCGCCUCGGGUUGGUGUGAGGCGCUCAGGGCAGGGCCCACGUGCCUGUGGUCACAGGACACUGAGCUGCAGGGUGAAAGGACCACACCUGGCCGAUCUCCCGGCCGCUGCAGCUCACUCUGGGUUUGCAGAGAAGCCUGUUUUUAAGUGAAGUGCCUUCUUAGAGAAUAAGACACACCUGUAUCUAAAUGUUAUUUUUAAACUGCUAGAUGCGCCUUAAUAUAGACAAAGAAGUAA
ensembl:lncRNA CEROX1 cytoplasmic endogenous regulator of oxidative phosphorylation 1